CCAGUGCCAAAUCAUCCUGAGGGCCCUGGUGCAAACCUGAUUUUGUCAAGAUGAAUGGUUACCUGAAACAGCAGAGAGACCUUAGACAUGAGUGAGAAUCUAAGCAGAGUUUUCCCACCAGAAGAGCCGAGAAAGGGAGUUUGAUCCCUCUCUGUAAAGGACAAGGGCUUGGCCACCUUCUCAAGGACCAGGUCUCCUCUCCUGCCUCAUUUGACCUCUGACUCAAUGGGACUGAAUGGCAGCUGGGACUUCUGGACAUCCCAGACUUCAAGCCCAGACACACCCGUAUGAGGGGAUAAGUGCUCGUCCCCCGAGGGUCAGGGAAAGGAACAGGUUCCUUGGGAGCUUCUGGAGGCCGCCUUCAUUUCCGUUCCAAGUAAAACCCAGCUCCCACACAGCCAGGAGUUAGUCCAUCCUUCAUUGUCUCUUCCAGAAUAGCCCGGCAGAAUGGAUGCUGAGGAAUGGAUGGAGCUGGGGCCGUGACCAGGCCCCUUUCCUGCAGAGGCUCCUGGUCCCUUCUAGGCGCCAACCACAGCGCCUCUGCCUGGUGUUUAAAGCCCUUCGUAGCCGGACUCCAUCAAUCUGUCCAUCAGGAGGAGCAGAAAGAGGACUGAGCUCCCUGAGGUCCUGCAGGGCCAGCAUGGAAGUCCCGGGCCUCCCACACAACCUGUUCACACACUCUACAUUCAUCCAACCUGGCCCCAUCCUGUGCCCCCAUGAGUAGUUUAUCUCCCACCUCCCUGCUUUUCCCCCAAGGCCAGCCUAGAAAUGGAAAGCCAGUUUUGUCAUGACAAAAUCCUAGAAGGGGAAUGGAACCCAAUCCCUGAUUUUUUUUCUCUCCUCUAGCUACGGCACCACGUUCCUUUGUGUUUUUACAACAGAGUUCAGUUUUUCUCCAAGCUUUUCAUCUUAAUUCAACCUCUCUUUUGAGAGGUCGCACAAGUGCUUCUGUUUUAUUGGGAUUUAAAAAAUUAUUUAUUUAUUGUUAACAUUAAUUUUUAUUUGAUUUAUUUAUUUCAUAUUUUCCCCUCAGUUAAAUUAAAACCAAUUUUUUUUUUUUUUUUGCGAUUCUUUUUAAACAUUUUGAAUUCAGGUUCUCUCCAUUAUCCCCAACCACAAUUAAGAAACCACAUGUGAAGUUAUGCAAAACACUUCCAUAAAAGUCAGGUUGGGAAAGAAAAACUAGAUUUCCCAUCCUAAAGAAAGUAAAAACCCUCAAGAAAAAUAGUUAAAAAAAAAAAAAGAGAUAAUGCUUCAAUCUGUAUUCAGUUCCUUCUCUGAAUAGGGAAAGGAUUUUUCCUAAGUCCUUCAGAGUAAUCAUGGAUCAUUGUAAUGCUUCGAAAAGCAGUCAGUUAGAACCAGUCAUCCCAGAACAUUGCGAUUACUUUGUAUACAGUACAUUUCA